rnacentral:rRNA from 1 species
AACGAACGCUGGCGGCAGGCUUAACACAUGCAAGUCGAACGCCCCGCAAGGGGAGUGGCAGACGGGUGAGUAACGCGUGGGAACAUACCCUUUCCUGCGGAAUAGCUCCGGGAAACUUGAAUUAAUACCGCAUACGCCCUACGGGGGAAAGAUUUAUCGGGGAAGGAUUGGCCCGCGUUGGAUUAGCUAGUUGGUGGGGUAAAGGCCUACCAAGGCGACGAUCCAUAGCUGGUCUGAGAGGAUGAUCAGCCACAUUGGGACUGAGACACGGCCCAAACUCCUACGGGAGGCAGCAGUGGGGAAUAUUGGACAAUGGGCGCAAGCCUGAUCCAGCCAUGCCGCGUGAGUGAUGAAGGCCUUAGGGUUGUAAAGCUCUUUCACCGAUGAAGAUAAUGACGGUAGUCGGAGAAGAAGCCCCGGCUAACUUCGUG